CUGCUCCACACGGCUCUGCGGCAGCACGCGCUCAGUCGGGCUGAGCAUGUGACCCAAGCCGGCCAAUCUGAGUGUUUCUCACCAGGACCUUAGUGAUUGGGCGGACGGGGACACGUGACCCUAGCCGGCCAAUCCGAGAAUUCCCUGCCCCGGACUUCUGGGUGGGGCAGGGACACGUGACCCGAGCCGGCCAAUCCGAGCGAGAGGCCUGUCAGGUUCUCGCAGGAGACGCGGCAACGGCGGUCGUGUCGUCUCUCCGUGGGUCCCUCCCGUGUGGGGGGGGGGGGGGGAGAGGAGCCCGGCGCCGGCGCAGAGCAGCAGCGGGAGUCCCCCGGGCCGGCCAGGCCUCCGGCCGGUCACCCCGGACCUGGACGUGCCGGCCGGGGCGGCAGGAGGUCCGUGUGCACGUGCGGGGCUGUGUGCGGUGCCGGGGCCGGUGACCUCUGUGGUCGCGGGCUGGGACAGCCGGUGACGGAGGCCGGCCGCCGCACCGUUGGGGCCUCUCGGAGCCGGUGACGUUGGCGCCGCGUCUGCAGCAGCAGCAGCAGCAGCAGCAGCAGCAGCAGCAGCAGGAGUUUGGCCGACUCCGGUGAAGCCAGCGGGAAGCGCCAGCACCGAGCCCGGAGAAUCCACCGCGUCCAGAAAAAUACCGUUGGGACCGAUCCGAGGGCAGCUGUGUUUGCAAGCUAAACUAAACCAGUGACCCGUUCUCCCCACGGCUUGUGUGCUCGUCUUGGGAAAGACCUCGUCUCUCACCUUGCCCUCGCCCCACAGGGUGCAGUUCUCUUCACGAAGCCACUCGGUCCUUUUGUUCCCGCUCUACUGGGGCUCGAUAAACGGGGCACGUUGCAGGCGUACGUUUCGGUCAGCCUGCCGCGCACUCGCCCACGAAGCCGUCAGCAGUUAGGACAGUGAACACACGCGGUCACCGGGAAGCUGCCUCCUGCCUCGUCCCCGCCUCCAGCUGACCGCCGACCUGCCUUCUUUGCGGAUCGUCCGUGUUUUCUGGGGUUUUGUAAGCGGAAUCCUGCCGUGCCCUCUCUUCCUUCCCUCUGGCUUGAACCCCCCUCCGUGGCCUCCGGUCUCCGUGCUCGGCCGAAUCGUACUCCAUCCCGUGGACACAACUGGUUCAUCCACUCACCUGUUGGUGAACGCUCAGGUUGUUUCUAGUUCGGGGCGAUGGCAAAUAAAGCAGGUGUGAACAUUCACCUGUGAGUCAUUGUAAAGCCACGGUUUUGCAUUUUUCUCGGGUACAGACUGAAGGGGGGUGGAGUGGCGGGAUUUUAUGGCAGGUGUACGUUUAACGUUCUUCGUAAUUAGAGUUUUUACUGAGGUGAUUAUAGGUCCACACGCCGUUUUAAGAAAUAACGGAGAGAUCCUGUGUGUUUUUACCCACUUUCCUCCCGUGGUGACGUUCUGUAAAGCUGAACUGUGACAUCACGGUCAGGACGCCGACACGGAUUCGGUCCGCGUGUCGGGUCUCCCACGGCUGCCCGUACCGAUCUGUGCGUGUGCGUGUCACGCGUGCAGACUCGCCCGUCCAGCACCCCGGUGGCCAGCCCGGAUGUGGUGUGUCCGUCCCAGAGACGACCCCCUGCUGCUCCGGCCACACGCCCCCCCUCGUGCCCUCGCCCCCGUUCGUGACCCCGCGCCAUCACCCACCGGCUCUUGAUUUCUGAAGUCUUGUCACUUGCGAGUGUUGUACGAGUGGUUCCGCACAGCACGCGCCCUCGGGGCCCGGCUCCUUCCCCGGGGAGCCCUCUAGGCGCCGCG